rnacentral:lncRNA from 1 species
GGGUCGAAAGAUGCCAUAAGGACAGUCAAACUCAAAGAUCAAAAAAUAAAUUGACAACCCCAUGGCUAAAAAUAUAGACAAACAGACACAUAAUAGAACACAACACACAACAUAUUGUACGCUACUUUAUGCACACUAUAAACGGACAUUAACGGACCUAAUAUAGGUUGAAGCCCCAAUUAGACUGUGCGUGUAGGUCAAUAAGACACCAACUAUAUAUCUGGAUACUUCCAUUUAAAGAAGUAAAACUGGUACGACGAACUGGAAAUGUACAAAGUGAACAUAUAAUUAAAUUGUGUUGCUUCUGUUAGCAUUCUACGGAAUGAAUAAGGGAUUUACAAAGAACGUUUACGUAUCUGAAC